rnacentral:rRNA from 1 species
GCUGUUUCGGGGGGGGCUAGCGGCGGACGGGUGAGUAACACGUACGCCACCUUGCCUCUCACACUGGGAUAACAUAGGGAAACUUAUGCUAAUACCGGAUAGGUUUUUGGAUCGCAUGAUCUGAAAACAAAAUAUGGCUUUUCGCUAUCACUGGGAGAUGGGCCUGCGGCGCAUUAGCUAGUUGGUGGGGUAACGGCCUACCAAGGCGACGAUGCGUAGCCGACCUGAUAGGGUGACCGGCCACACUGGGACUGAUACACGGCCCAUACUCCUACGGGAGGCAGCAGUAGGGAAUUUUCCACAAUGGACGAAAGUCUGAUGGAGCAACGCCGCGUGAACGAUGAAGGUCUUCGGAUUGUAAAGUUCUGUUGUCAGGGACGAACACUUACCGUUCGAACAGGGCGGUGCCUUGACGGUACCUGACGAGAAAGCCGCGG